UACGUAGGGGGCAAGCGUUGUCCGGAAUCAUUGGGCGUAAAGAGCGUGUAGGCGGCCUGGUAAGUCCGCUGUGAAAGUCCAGGGCUCAACCCUGGAAUGCCGGUGGAAACUGUCAGGCUCGAGUCCGGAAGAGGCGAGUGGAAUUCCUGGUGUAGCGGUGAAAUGCGCAGAUAUCAGGAGGAACACCGGUGGCGAAGGCGGGUCUCUGGGCCGAUACUGACGCUGAGGUGCGAAAGCGUGGGGAGCAAACAGG
rnacentral:rRNA from 1 species